AUUAUCUGUAUGUUAAAUUGUUUCUGCAAUCUCUGGAGUUCGCUCCUAAGAAUUUCAUUCACCAAGGCACAUGUGCUGUGGUGAUGUGACAAUAAAAGUGACUUGACUUGACUUGACUUUAACGGUGAGCGGAAGCUUGAGAGCGACAUGGGUUUGAAUUUUAAACAGUUUUAAAAGAUUUUUUAUCUGUGCAUGUGAGAUUUCUACAUGGUCAUGAUCAUGUGUCCUGUUUCUCCUUCUAUAACAUAUGUGUCAAACUUAAGGCACGUGGGCUAAAUGUGUCCCGUCACAUCAUUUUAUGUGGCCCGCGAGAGCUGAAUAUCUGAUUAUCUUAUAAUAAAUAAGUCAAAAGGGUGCAUUGACCAUAAACUACAUUUCCCAUAAUGCAUGCCAAUCAUGUUACCCAUGAAGUGAUGACACCCCACCACUAGAUUGCAGUGUUUCCACAUCAAUGCCAUUUUCCAAAUUAAGAAGUACAAACAAUUAUCCCAAAAUGUCCAGGAAGAGAAAUACUGAUGCAGAUGGAAGACAGGUCAAGAAAGAUGGGAAGGCGAAUAUAUGUUUGUGCUUCAAGGGGAAAAACCGGUUCACGGUGCUACGCAAAACUAAAGUUUAAUGGCGCUCUUCGCGAGCAAAAUAAAUAAAGAAGCACCCGUCGGAAACUCUCUGUGUCUCUUUUAUGGAUACCAAUGGGCAGCUACACCCCUCAAGCUCACUCUUCAGCCUCCUCCCAUCUGAAAAAGUUACAGUAGCAUUAUCUUAAUUAUCAAAUAGGCUUCUCAAUAAACAUAACUGAACUACAUUAAC